GAUGAACGCUGGCGGCGUGCCUAAUACAUGCAAGUCGAGCGAACAGACGAGGAGCUUGCUCCUCUGACGUUAGCGGCGGACGGGUGAGUAACACGUGGAUAACCUACCUAUAAAACUGGGAUAACUUCGGGAAACCGGAGCUAAUACCGGAUAACAUGUUGAACCGCAUGGUUCAACAGUGAAAGACGGUUUUGCUGUCACUUAUAGAUGGAUCCGCGCCGCAUUAGCUAGUUGGUAAGGUAACGGCUUACCAAGGCAACGAUGCGUAGCCGACCUGAGAGGGGGAUCGGCCACACUGGAACUGAGACACGGUCCAGACUCCUACGGGAGGCAGCAGUAGGGAAUCUUCCGCAAUGGGCGAAAGCCUGACGGAGCAACGCCGCGUGAGUGAAGAAGGUCUUCGGAUCGUAAAACUCUGUUAUUAGGGAAGAACAAAUGUGUAAGUAACUAUGCACGUCUUGACGGUACCUAAUCAGAAAGCCACGGCUAACUACGUG
rnacentral:rRNA from 1 species